rnacentral:misc_RNA from 1 species
GAUGAAGAACGCAGCGAAAUGCGAUAAGUAAUGUGAAUUGCAGAAUUCAGUGAAUCAUCGAAUCUUUGAACGCACAUUGCGCCCCCUGGUAUUCCGGGGGGCAUGCCUGUCCGAGCGUCAUUACAACCCUCAAGCUCAGCUUGGUGUUGGGCCCCGCCGCCCCGGCGGGCCCUAAAGUCAGUGGCGGUGCCGUCCGGCUCCGAGCGUAGUAAUUCUUCUCGCUCUGGAGGUCCGGUCGUGUGCUCGCCAGCAACCCCCAAUUUUUUUCAGGUUGACCUCGGAUCAGGUAGUGAUACCCGCUGAACUUAAGCAUAUCAAUAAGCGGAGGA